rnacentral:rRNA from 1 species
UAGAGUUUGAUCCUGGCUCAUGACGAACGCUGGCGGCGUGCCUAAUACAUGCAAGUCGAGCGGACCUUUUAAAAGCUUGCUUUUGAAAGGUCAGCGGCGGACGGGUGAGUAACACGUGGGCAACCUGCCUGUAAGACUGGGAUAACUUCGGGAAACCGGAGCUAAUACCGGAUAAUAUAAGGAACCUCCUGGUUCUUUAUUGAAAGAUGGUUUCGGCUAUCACUUACAGAUGGGCCCGCGGCGCAUUAGCUAGUUGGUGAGGUAACGGCUCACCAAGGCGACGAUGCGUAGCCGACCUGAGAGGGUGAUCGGCCACACUGGGACUGAGACACGGCCCAGACUCCUACGGGAGGCAGCAGUAGGGAAUCUUCCACAAUGGACGAAAGUCUGAUGGAGCAACGCCGCGUGAGCGAUGAAGGCCUUCGGGUCGUAAAGCUCUGUUGUUAGGGAAGAACAAGUGCGAGAGUAACUGCUCGCACCUGACGGACCUAACCAG